UACGUAGGGUGCGAGCGUUUGUCCGGAAUCAUUGGGCGUAAAGCGCGCGUAGGCGGCCCGGUAAGUCCGUUGUAAAAGUCAAAGGCUCAACCUUUGAAAGCCGAUGGAUACUGCCGGGCUAGAAUCCGGAAGAGGCGAGUGGAAUUCCUGGUGUAGCGGUGGAAUGCGCAGAUAUCAGGAGGAACACCAAUAGCGAAGGCAGCUCGCUGGGACGGUAUUGACGCUAAGGCGCGAAAGCGUGGGGAGCAAACAGG
rnacentral:rRNA from 1 species